rnacentral:tRNA from 1 species
GGGUCCAUAGCUCAGUGGUAGAGAAUUUGACUACAGAUACAGAUCAAGAUGUCAUUGGUUCAAACCCGGUUGGGCACU